GACGAACCGUGCGAACGUUGUUCGGAAUCACUGGGCUUAAAGGGCGCGUAGGCGGCUUGGCAAGUGGAUGGUGAAAUCCCUCGGCUUAACCGAGGAACUGCCGUCCAAAACUGCUUCGCUUGAGACCGGGAGAGGUGAGUGGAAUUCCUGGUGUAGCGGUGAAAUGCGCAGAUAUCAGGAAGAACACCCGUGGCGAAGGCGGCUCUCUGGAACGCAACUGACGCUGAGACGCGAAAGCGUGGGGAGCAAACAGG
rnacentral:rRNA from 1 species